rnacentral:rRNA from 1 species
GACGUAGGGCGCGAGCGUUGUCCGGAUUUAUUGGGCGUAAAGAGCUCGUAGGCGGCUUGUCGCGUCGACUGUGAAAACCCGCGGCUCAACCGUGUGGUCUGCAGUCGAUACGGGCAGGCUAGAGUUCGGUAGGGGAGACUGGAAUUCCUGGUGUAGCGGUGAAAUGCGCAGAUAUCGAGAGGAACACCUGCGGCGAAGGCGGGUUGCUGGGCUGACACUGACGCUGAGGCGCGAAAGCUAGGGGAGCGAACGGG